CCUACGGGUGGCAGCAGUGAGGAAUAUUGGUCAAUGGACGCAAGUCUGAACCAGCCAUGCCGCGUGCAGGAAGACGGCUCUAUGAGUUGUAAACUGCUUUUGUACGAGGGUAAACGCAGAUACGCGUAUCUGUCUGAAAGUAUCGUACGAAUAAGGAUCGGCUAACUCCGUGCCAGCAGCCGCGGUAAUACGGAGGAUUCAAGCGUUAUCCGGAUUUAGUGGGUUUAAAGGGUGCGUAGGCGGUCGGAUAAGUUAGAGGUGAAAUCCCGAGGCUCAACUUCGGAAUUGCCUCUGAUACUGUUCGGCUGGAGAGUAGUUGCGGUAGGCGGAAUGUAUGGUGUAGCGGUGAAAUGCUUAGAGAUCAUACAGAACACCGAUUGCGAAGGCAGCUUACCAAGCUACUUCUGACGUUGAGGCACGAAAGCGUGGGGAGCAAACAGGAUUAGAUACCCUAGUAGUC
rnacentral:rRNA from 1 species